UACCUCCUGGAAGUUUUGAUUUUAUUUAUGUUUUUUCACAUGGCGGUGGUGGUGCAGGAAGGGGGUAUUUUGUCUUCCGCCUCCCUCCUGCACCACCACCGCCAUCACCAGAGCUGAAGGUCCACGCCACCAUCGCCAGAGCUGAAGGUCUACACCACCACCAUCACCAGAGCUGAAGGUCUACGCCACCAUCGCCAGAGCUGAAGGUCUACAACGCUGCUGCCACCAGAGCUGAAAUCUCUCUAAGUUAAUGACUAACCCCCCCUCACCCCUUGGCAAACACAAUAAAACAUGGUCAUUUGUGGAUA